UAAUAUUCAUUGAUUAUCAUCUAUAUAAUCUUGAUAGUAUGCUCAAGAGUUUCUACCAGAGAGCGAAAAAUCUCUGACUAUAGGUGAAUCCGUUAACAUG
rnacentral:ncRNA from 2 species